rnacentral:lncRNA from 1 species
UUUGUUUACCAGCGAUGAAUUGAAAGGUAAUUGUGUUUUAAAAGACUGGAAGCUGACUCUCUAAUCUGAACUACAAUGAGAUAAUUGUGGAAGUGACAAUGAACAAAUAACUAGGUGAUACAAAUUCAGGUUCUAGUUCUGCAAUUACUAGUUUUGGGACCUUGAAAGAAAUACAAACAUUUUUAUUGAACACCUAUUAUGUGCAGACACUGUAUUAGAUCUGGAGAACAAUGGUGAACAAGACAGUCCCUCUCUGAGGAGGUCUGGAGCCUAGUGCAAGGCCCUCUCUGGGUCUCACUCUCUUCAUUUCAAUAGCAAAUGGGUGGGACCUACUGAACUUUCUGAGGUCCUGCCAUAGGAACUAGAAUUAACUGCACUGAGCUUAUGUCAUGAAGGAAGGAUUCAUGUUCUGAGGAUUAAACAGAGCAGUGCAGAGAACAUGAGGUAAAAAAAAUCAUUGCUCCGUCAGCUCCCUUUUCCACAUAGGCUGGUCUGGGUGAUGGGUCUGUAUGCACAGCUACCCAUAAUGCUCUCUACCAAUGCAGAAUAAAUACGGGGAAAGAAGCACCAUUCACAACGGACAAAGAAAAUGGCAGAGUACGGGAAGUGGAGUUACCACCAGUGAAUUCAUUAAAAAGUGCACUGUGAAACCUCAGGUGGGGCCCCGAGGUGUGCCAAAGUUUGCUUGUAUGUGUAAAACCAAACAGAAGCCAAUAGUGGGAGGAAAGGAAGACAGUUUUCCUUGAGGAGAGAAAAUACUUGCUCUAGCACAAGAUGCAGCUACUACUCUGAAGGAAGCUGAUCUGAGAUGCAUUUUUGCUCUAGCUCCUGAAACGGUAACAUCCACACACAGAUCUGGAUCAUGAGCCUUAAAAUAAGCAUCCAUGAGAAAGACAGACAAGACGGAAAGAAAAAGCAUUGAUGAGACCGUCUAUCGGGAAGACAGGGCUAACCUAACUUUCUAAAGAGGGAGAACACGGCUUUUUAGUUCCAGACAAAAUGUUCACUCCCUCCAUUUCCACAAGGCAAAGUAAGCCACAUCCUCUCCCCAGGAAACUGUACAGCUGGCUUGUUGCAACCAUAACAAACGCAGAGAUGUGAACAAAUGGUGUCGCGUGUUUGAAAACCAAGAAGAUAUAACAGUGAAAGUAUGAAUUCGGGUUCAAAAAGCCCAUCUUUACAAACUUCCUAGGAAUUUUAACACCCACCGAUGUUCAUCCAUUCAGCAGUUAUUUACUGAGCAUCACUCUGCCCCACUCACGUCUCUCAACAUGAGGGAUAAAGCAGCGAGUGUGGCCCAGACCUUGCCUCCGCGGGCCUUACUUUUGCGUCUGGCUUGCUGGCAAAGAAUAUAAAAUGCAAUGCCAAACAGGGGUAAGUGCUAUGAAAAAAGAGAGCAAGUUUCAGGGAACAGACAAUAACUGCAGAGACGACGGUUUAUUGGAAGGUGGUCACAGAGUGUCUCCUUAAAGGGAUGACAGCUGCGUCAUCGAAGUCUCCAUGCAGUAUUAGUCAUCGGAUUCUCAUUAUGAUUUUCCACUUUAUUUUACUAUUAUUAUUAUUAUUUUUAGGGCUGCACCCGUGGCAUGUGGAAGUUCCCAGGCUAGGCGUGUUGCAUCAGAGCUGUAGCCGCCGGCCUAUGCCACAGCCACAGAGCAACGCCAGAUCCAAGCCUCGUCUGCAACCUACACCACAGCUCAUGGCAACGCCAGAUCCUUAACCCACUGAGCGAGGCCAGGGAUCGAACCUGAAACCUCAUGGUUACUACUCGGAUUCAUUUCCGCUAAGCCACAACAGGAACUCCUAUUUUUCCACUUUAUAGCUUUGUUUUCUUUACUGUAUUCUGGCUUGGCUCACUGGGAAAGACCAUGUUAUGAUGGAAGGAACACAAACACCAACUGAUCUGUUAUCAGAGCAAAGUAAUGAUCUCUCUGAGCCACAGUUUCCCCACCUAAGAAGUGGGCUGUUAGGAGGAAAAAAAGAAGAUAAAAUAGGAUGCCAAGAACAGGGAGUGAAGCAGAAUUAUCUGCUUCUCCCUUUUUUUGUUAUUCUUAUAGAUAAUUCUUGAUUUAAAAUAUGAUAUGAGAGCAAGAAGGAUUCUUGGAAAUUAUGUACUAUGGCAGCUUCAAUUGACCAAUGGAAAAAUAAAGGGCCUCAGAGAUGAAGCAAAAAAAGCCUCAUGACUCGCCAUCCGCCCACAGCAAAUUUCAACCAAGAGCUCUUUUUAUUACACUAGUAUUUUCCAAGUUUUUAUUUUUCCCUAUGAAACCUUUUCUCCAGUGAAAGCUUACCAGACAGUCCAAUAUAAGACAUAAAUAAAUAAGAGCAGGUGAGCCUUGCCAGCCCCUUGAAAAGAAAUACAGACAGAAAAUGAACACACGGCCUUAGUGAUGAUAAAGGUAAAGACACCAUGGAAGAAAACUCACAGAAGUUCCCUGAAACACUACGAAAAAUAACUGAAAUUCCUAAGCAGGUCUGAAAAGAAUUGCUAGAUCUCUUUCCUCUGCUGCUUGAAUUAAAAACAAAACACACAUUAAUUUAGGGAACUUUACUAAUCUGGACAAUUCCUCUUCUUGUGGUCAUUAUGUGCAUUGGUUUUUAUUUUCCUUUCCUUCCCUUAAUCUGGCCCUUGUCUUAUUUCAUGCACUUAUGGCUCACUUGCUUCCGGGGUCCUAGCUGUUCCCUUUCUAGCACCCAUGUCAGCUCAGCCCCCUUCCCUCUUACCUCAACUUGUUCUCAGUCAGGGAAGAUUACUACCAUAAUAGCACUCCCAUUAAGUUCUGUUAAAACGGCAAAGAAGUUUGUCAUUUACUCUUAGCAGUCAGCAUCUCUAAUCAGCAAAAAACCCAAUGUGCUCAGCUACCUGUUUCCAAUUAGGAAACUCCUAAGAAUUAAGGGUUGAGGUAGACAGCCAGCCACCCUCGGAAUGGAGAGCAGAAUAUGAAUCGAGUAUUCACUAUGUUAGGCACCACGGUGUGUAAUAAUGAUAAUAAUUUUAUUACCAUUAUCAUUAUUUUCAGGUAGAGGAGUGAAAGAGUACACAAGAUAAACCAGACAUCUUAUAGGAAAGAAGAAAACAUUAUGAGCAAUGAAAAAGAUUUCAUAGGAUAUAAAUAGAAAGGUGAACAACAUUAAAAAAAAACCAUGGAGUUCCCGUCAUGGCGCAGUGGAAACAAAUCCGACUAGGAACCAUGAGGUUGCAGGUUCAAUCCCUGGCCUCACUCAGUGGGUUAAGGAUUCGGCAUUACCGU